rnacentral:rRNA from 1 species
CCUACGGGCGGCAGCAGUGGGGAAUAUUGGACAAUGGGCGAAAGCCUGAUCCAGCCAUGCCGCGUGUGUGAAGAAGGCCUUCGGGUUGUAAAGCACUUUCAGUGGGGAAGAAAGCCUUGGGGCUAAUACCCUCGAGGAAGGACAUCACCCACAGAAGAAGCACCGGCUAACUCCGUGCCAGCAGCCGCGGUAAUACGGAGGGUGCGAGCGUUAAUCGGAAUUACUGGGCGUAAAGCGCGCGUAGGCGGUCUGAUAAGCCGGUUGUGAAAGCCCCGGGCUCAACCUGGGAACGGCAUCCGGAACUGUCAGGCUAGAGUGCAGGAGAGGAAGGUAGAAUUCCCGGUGUAGCGGUGAAAUGCGUAGAGAUCGGGAGGAAUACCAGUGGCGAAGGCGGCCCUCUGGACUGACACUGACGCUGAGGUGCGAAAGCGUGGGUAGCAAACAGGAUUAGAUACCCCGGUAGUC